AGCGGCGGACGGGUGAGUAACACGUGGAUAACCUGCCCAAGAGACUGGGAUAACACCUGGAAACAGAUGCUAAUACCGGAUAACAACACUAGACGCAUGUCUAGAGUUUGAAAGAUGGUUCUGCUAUCACUCUUGGAUGGACCUGCGGUGCAUUAGCUAGUUGGUAAGGUAACGGCUUACCAAGGCAAUGAUGCAUAGCCGAGUUGAGAGACUGAUCGGCCACAUUGGGACUGAGACACGGCCCAAACUCCUACGGGAGGCAGCAGUAGGGAAUCUUCCACAAUGGACGAAAGUCUGAUGGAGCAACGCCGCGUGAGUGAAGAAGGGUUUCGGCUCGUAAAGCUCUGUUGGUAGUGAAGAAAGAUAGAGGUAGUAACUGGCCUUUAUUUGACGGUAAUUACUUAGAAAGUCACGGCUAACUACGUGCCAGCAGCCGCGGUAAUACGUAGGUGGCAGGCGUUGUCCGGAUUUAUUGGGCGUAAAGCGAGUGCAGGCGGUUCAAUAAGUCUGAUGUGAAAGCCUUCGGCUCAACCGGAGAAUUGCAUCAGAAACUGUUGAACUUGAGUGCAGAAGAGGAGAGUGGAACUCCAUGUGUAGCGGUGGAAUGCGUAGAUAUAUGGAAGAACACCAGUGGCGAAGGCGGCUGUCUAGCUUGCAACUGACGCUGAGGCUCGAAAGCAUGGGUAGCGAACAGGAUUAGAUACCCUGGUAGUCCAUGCCGUAAACGAUGAGUGCUAAGUGU
rnacentral:rRNA from 1 species